rnacentral:lncRNA from 1 species
AUUCUAAUAUAUCUUUUAGAUAUAUAUAUAUAUGACUAUUACAAAAAUAAACCAAAACCCUGUUUUUCUCUUUUGGGACUAUCAUUGACAAUUCAGUCUUGACCAUAAACAGAGUAAAUCUAGAGAGGGAAUACAUUUGUUUUUUGAUAUACUAACUAUAAAUUAUCACUGGGUGAUAUGUGAGACUUGUAAAUGAAAUGAAAAUUCAAAUCUUCUAGCACUUUAAUAUUUGGAGACAAUUUAUAAAUAUUCAAAUAAUUAAGAUAUAAAAUAAUAUCAAAUUAAGUACAUUGAUAUGGAAAAAGUAG